UCUCCAGCUGAUGUCUUAGUGACCACCAGUCUUCCUGAGGUCAAAUGAACACAUCUCUCCAGCUGAUGUCUUAGUGACCACUAGUCUUCCUGAGGUCAAAUGAACACAUCUCUCCAGCUGAUGUCUUAGUGACCACUAGUCUUCCUGAGGUCAAAUGAACACAUCUCUCCAGCUGAUGUCUUAGUGACCACUAGUCUUCCUGAGGUCAAAUGAACACAUCUCUCCAGCUGAUGUCUUAGUGACCACUAGUCUUCCUGAGGUCAAAUGAACACAUCUCUCCAGCUGAUGUCUUAGUGACCACUAGUCUUCCUGAGGUCAAAUGUACACAUCUCUCCAGCUGAUGUCUUAGUGACCACCAGUCUUCCUGAGGUCAAAUGUACACAUCUCUCCAGCUGAUGUCUUAGUGACCACUAGUCUUCCUGAGGUCAAAUGAACACAUCUCUCCAGCUGAUGUCUUAGUGACCACUAGUCUUCCUGAGGUCAAAUGUACACAUCUCUCCAGCUGAUGUCUUAGUGACCACCAGUCUUCCUGAGGUCAAAUGUACACAUCUCUCCAGCUGAUGUCUUAGUGACCACUAGUCUUCCUGAGGUCAAAUGUACACAUCUCUCCAGCUGAUGUCUUAGUGACCACCAGUCUUCCUGAGGUCAAAUGUACACAUCUCUCCAGCUGAUGUCUUAGUGACCACUAGUCUUCCUGAGGUCAAAUGAACACAUCUCUCCAGCUGAUGUCUUAGUGACCACUAGUCUUCCUGAGGUCAAAUGAACACAUCUCUCCAGCUGAUGUCUUAGUGACCACUAGUCUUCCUGAGGUCAAAUGAACACAUCUCUCCAGCUGAUGUCUUAGUGACCACUAGUCUUCCUGAGGUCAAAUGAACACAUCUCUCCAGCUGAUGUCUUAGUGACCACUAGUCUUCCUGAGGUCAAAUGAACACAUCUCUCCAGCUGAUGUCUUAGUGACCACUAGUCUUCCUGAGGUCAAAUGUACACAUCUCUCCAGCUGAUGUCUUAGUGACCACUAGUCUUCCUGAGGUCAAAUGAACACAUCUCUCCAGCUGAUGUCUUAGUGACCACUAGUCUUCCUGAGGUCAAAUGUACACAUCUCUCCAGCUGAUGUCUUAGUGACCACUAGUCUUCCUGAGGUCAAAUGUACACAUCUCUCCAGCUGAUGUCUUAGUGACCACUAGUCUUCCUGAGGUCAAAUGUACACAUCUCUCCAGCUGAUGUCUUAGUGACCACUAGUCUUCCUGAGGUCAAAUGUACACAUCUCUCCAGCUGAUGUCUUAGUGACCACUAGUCUUCCUGAGGUCAAAUGUACACAUCUCUCCAGCUGAUGUCUUAGUGACCACUAGUCUUCCUGAGGUCAAAUGUACACAUCUCUCCAGCUGAUGUCUUAGUGACCACUAGUCUUCCUGAGGUCAAAUGUACACAUCUCUCCAGCUGAUGUCUUAGUGACCACUAGUCUUCCUGAGGUCAAAUGAACACAUCUCUCCAGCUGAUGUCUUAGUGACCACUAGUCUUCCUGAGGUCAAAUGUACACAUCUCUCCAGCUGAUGUCUUAGUGACCACUAGUCUUCCUGAGGUCAAAUGUACACAUCUCUCCAGCUGAUGUCUUAGUGACCACUAGUCUUCCUGAGGUCAAAUGAACACAUCUCUCCAGCUGAUGUCUUAGUGACCACCAGUCUUCCUGAGGUCAAAUGAACACAUCUCUCCAGCUGAUGUCUUAGUGACCACCAGUCUUCCUGAGGUCAAAUGAACACAUCUCUCCAGCUGAUGUCUUAGUGACCACUAGUCUUCCUGAGGUCAAAUGAACACAUCUCUCCAGCUGAUGUCUUAGUGACCACUAGUCUUCCUGAGGUCAAAUGAACACAUCUCUCCAGCUGAUGUCUUAGUGACCACUAGUCUUCCUGAGGUCAAAUGAACACAUCUCUCCAGCUGAUGUCUUAGUGACCACUAGUCUUCCUGAGGUCAAAUGAACACAUCUCUCCAGCUGAUGUCUUAGUGACCACUAGUCUU